GUGGGGUAAUGGCUCACCAAGGCGACGACGGGUAGCCGGCCUGAGAGGGUGACCGGCCACACUGGGGCUGAGACACGGCCCAGACUCCUACGGGAGGCAGCAGUGGGGAAUAUUGCACAAUGGGCGGAAGCCUGAUGCAGCGACGCCGCGUGAGGGAUGACGGCCUUCGGGUUGUAAACCUCUUUCAGUAGGGAAGAAGCGAGAGUGACGGUACCUGCAGAAGAAGCGCCGGCUAACUACGUGCCAGCAGCCGCGGUAAUACGUAGGGCGCAAGCGUUGUCCGGAAUUAUUGGGCGUAAAGAGCUCGUAGGCGGUUUGUCGCGUCUGCUGUGAAAGCCCGGGGCUCAACCCCGGGUCUGCAGUGGGUACGGGCAGACUAGAGCGCAGUAGGGGAGACUGGAAUUCCUGGUGUAGCGGUGAAAUGCGCAGAUAUCAGGAGGAACACCGAUGGCGAAGGCAGGUCUCUGGGCUGUUACUGACGCUGAGGAGCGAAAGCAUGGGGAGCGAACAGGAUUAGAUACCCUGGUAGUCCAUGCCGUAAACGUUGGGCACUAGGUGUGGGGGACAUUCCACGUUCUCCGCGCCGUAGCUAACGCAUUAAGUG
rnacentral:rRNA from 1 species